rnacentral:rRNA from 1 species
ACAGGUCAGCGUUGUUCGGAUUACUGGGCGUAAGGGUGCGUAGGCGGUCGGCUAAGUCUGGUGUGAAAUUUCGAAGCUUAACUUCGAAACUGCAUUGGAUACUAUUCGGCUAGAGGUUGGGAAGGGAGACUGGAAUUCUCGGUGUAGCAGUGAAAUGCGUAGAUAUCGAGAGGAACACCAGUGGCGAAGGCGAGUCUCUGGACCAAUCCUGACGCUGAGGCACGAAAGCCAGGGGAGCAAACGGGAUUAGAUACCCCGGUAGUCCUGGCCCUAAACGGUGCAUGUUUGCUGUAAGAGGAAUCGACCCCUUUUGUGGCGGAGCUAACGCGUUAAACAUGCCGCCUGGGGAGUACGGUCGCAAGAUUAAAACUCAAAGAAAUUGACGGGGGCCUGCACAAGCGGUGGAGUAUGUGGCUCAAUUCGAUGCAACGCGAAGAACCUUACCUGGCCUUGACAUGCAAGUGGUAGAAGAAUGAAAGUUUAACGACCCCGCAAGGGGAGCUUGCACAGGUGCUGCAUGGCUGUCGUCAGCUCGUGUCGUGAGAUGUUGGGUUAAGUCCCGCAACGAGCGCAACCCCCUGUGUCCUGUUGCCACCCGGCCGAGAGGCUGGAGCACUCUGGACAGACUGCCUCGCUUCAAACGAGGAGGAAGGUGGGGAUGACGUCAAGUCAGGAUGGCCCUUACGGCCAGGGCUGCACACGUACUACAAUGCCCGGUACAAUGGGAAGCAAUACGGCAAACGUGGAGCAAAUCCCCUAAAAGCCGGGCCCAGUUCAGAUUGUCGUCUGCAACUCGACGGCAUGAAGUUGGAAUCGCUAGUAAUGGCGCAUCAGCUACGGCGCCGUGAAUACGUUCCCAGGCCUUGUACACACCGCCCGUCACAUCAUGAAAGCCGGUCGUACCCGAAGUCAUUGUGCUAACCGUCAGGAAGCAGAUGCCGAAGUAUGGCUGUAUUGGG